rnacentral:rRNA from 1 species
AGAGAGAGACAUGCGCGCAUAUCAAUAAGCGGAGGAAAAGAAACUAACAAGGAUUCCCUUAGUAACAGGCGAGUGAAGCGGGAAGAGCUCAAAUUUGAAAUCUUCAAGGUUCUACCUUGACGAAUUGUAGUUUAUAGAAGUGUUUUCUGUUAGUGGAGUGGCAAAAGUUCUUUGGAAUAGGACAUCAUAGAGGGUGAGAAUCCCGUAUUUGGUCAUUCCUCCUAGCGUUGUGAUACACUUUCAACGAGUCGGAUUGUUUGGGAAUGCAGUCCAAAAUGGGUGGUAAAUUUCAUCUAAAGCUAAAUAUUGGCGAGAGACCGAUAGCGAACAAGUACCGUGAGGGAAAGAUGAAAAGAACUUUGAAAAGAGAGUUAAACAGCACGUGAAAUUGUCAAAAGGGAAGCGUUUGACACCAGUGUUGUUUUUCCGAAAAUCAAUUACGAAUGUUUUAUUUUUGAGGAGUUAUGACUUCAUCGGCUUGCUCCUUUCUUUAUGAAACUUUCUUAAUGCACUUUUCGGUUAACAAGUCAACAUCAAUUUCUUUUGUUGUAAAAGGGUAUGAGGAAGGUGGCUUUCUUUUCGGAGAAAGUGUUUAUAGCCUUGUGCCUCUGCAAUCGGAGAGAUUGAGGUCUGCAGCGUAGAUCCUUCGGGGUUAGAUACGUUUGUGCUAAGUUAUAGCUUUUCAUAGACAACUUGUUGACUAUGUUUAGUCUUGUAGCUUACUCGCUGACGCUAUUUUACCUACGCUUAGGAUGUUGAUAGUCACAGCGUGUAC